rnacentral:lncRNA from 1 species
AUUACUGUACCCUCCCGGCAGCCUCCGGCAGAACACGCAGCAGCAGCAGCAGUUAGCGCUGAUGCAACUAUCGUUGCUGUUGCCACCGCCUCCCCACUGACGGGGCGUGCACCUGGGGGGUACUUGCAGUUUCCAGGGGCAACAAGCAUCUCUCUACCACCCUCUCCUGCGCCCCUGAGAGAGGCUGGCUCCAAGCUUGAUAUAGAAGACUAUCAUAUGAACCAGAAAGGGUAACUGAAACCAAAGAAAUGACUCCAGUAUCAAGCUAAAGACAUGCCUUAAAGGAUGAGGAGGAGCAGAAAUCUUACCAGCAAGGCAAGAAAGAAGCCGUACGUGAACAGCCUCUGCUUUAGGCCCAGAAGGAAAAGAAGCUUACAGGAGACAAUCAGUCUUACACUCUUCCAUGGUCACAAACAAGAGGUCCCUGGAUCUACAGUAUCUAGGCCCACAUGCAAUAUGACUUUGCAACUCAUCCCAUCAGAGGAUGGAAACUAUUUCUUCACCCCCUUGAACCUGGGCUGGCUUUGUAAUUUGUUUUGGCCAAUAGAAUGUGGUGGAAGUGAUGGUGUUACCAGAAAGAGUUCCCAAUCCAGACUCGUGCGAGAAAGAAUUUGAGAAAUGAAAGAACCAGAGCAUUAUAGCAGAACGAAUCCUGGAAUGGGAAUGGAAUGCCUGGAUUUGUGGCACAGUUGGGAAGCGUCCUGGCCAUGCCAUGUUAAAGCUGUCUCCAAGGCAGUGAUUCUUACCCUUGGCUACACAUUGGAGUCAUUUGGGAAGCUAGAAAAAAAAAAUGCCCAGGACCUGGGCAAGACGGCUGAAUAAGAACAGCUCUGGUCUGCAGUUCCUAGCAAGAUCAACGCAGAAGGGAAGCUGGCAGCCUGGGCUCUUGGAGAUUGUAUCUGGUGCCGGAGAGGACUGGCUCCCACACUCAGUGAGGGAGGAAUUUUACUGACCCAGCAUCCAGAUGAACUUUGGUGAGGAGAGGAGACGGAGUUUCACUGUUGUUGCCCAGGCUGGAGUGCAGUGGCGUGAUUUCAGCUCACGGCUACCUCUGCCUCCCGGGUUCAAGCAAUUCUCCUGCCUCAGCCUCCCAAGUAGCUGGGAUUACAGAUCAUGAACUGGCAGCCAUGUGGAAAGAAGACUAGACUGCGAAUCACUUAGGAUCCCACCCUCGGUUUAGUCUAGAAUACUCUGCGAAUCAGCUUUUUGGCCCUAGGUAGGAAAGAGACAAAUGGAAGCAAAAUAGCAAAAUGGUGAAGAGGAGGGUUCUAGAGGCAGAGAGCCCUGCAGUCCUGAGUCCUGAGUCCACCGUUUAACAGAGUGACUUUGCUCAGCCUGUGGAUUAUAAUGAAACUUGCCUGUUAUAGGAUCCAGUUUUUUAGGUGGUAGCAACAUGCUCAAGGAAGAUGCAGCCCCUUCCUCCAGCCUGAGAGAAUAAAGCAUCAUUGGCUUAUGCCAACCAUGGCAAUCCCAUUCCCCUUUUCUCAUGAUUGAUUUGGGAAUGGGCAAGUGACCCAGUUCUAACCAAUGAGACGAAAGAAAAAGUCUAUUGGUCAGCUUAUCUCAGAAGAUUUUUGUUUCCUGCUAUAAAGAGAAACAGUAAGUUCCUUCCUGCCUGACUUAAAUGCAAUUGUGUGCAAACAUGUUACUUGGAGCUACAGCAACGAUUCUGUGACCAUGAGGCAAUAAGCCAAGGACAAAGGAUAGAAUAGUGAAAAGACAGAGUAUUGGAUUUUUUUUAUGAUAUCAUUGAACUGCUGGACCAAUGUGGAACCAUCUACUUUUAGUCUUUCAUGAUUUGUGAGAUGAUUAAACAUUUCUUUUUUUUAGCCAUUAUUUCUUUUCUGUUACUUGCAACUGAAGACAUCCUACAUAAUACAAACACUAUCCAACUUGGAUUGUAAUUUAUCUAUUUUCAGAUCUGUGUGUUCUGUCUUACUGAUUUUUGUAUUCUUAGCACUGAGUAUAAGGCUGCUACUUAGUAAGACUUCAAUAAAUGACUGUUUAAAAAGGUCUUAGAGGAUUUAAAAAAAAUUCUGAAGUUGCUGAAAUAUGAAGACCAGGAACCAAUUUCAGGUUCUAUAAAUUUCUCGCUUCCUUCACUUCUGGAGUAGUCUUCAUUUCUGUCUGAUUCUACCUUUACUAAAAUGAAUGAAUGAUUGAGAAAUACGAAAAAUGGCUGGUAUAGUGGCUACUGCUGAGAAGUAUCUCUUGGAAAUUCCCGGAAAUUCCAUCAGUCACAUUCAGACCUAACUCUCUGAUGAUCAAUGUUUCUGAACUCAAACCAGUGUACAUAAGCAGUGGACUAUUUAAAGUGGUAUUAGCCUAGAAUAUCUAGGACCCAUGUUUUAUGCAUUCAGUAAGCGUUUGUUUAAUGUCUGUUAUCUACCAGGCACAUUAUUAUGCAUUGGGCAUAUAGAGAUGACCAACCACACGGCCUCAAUCCUUGAAAAGCUUACAGUAACCAAAUAGGGUUAACGGCCUAAAGAGAGGUAAUUACAAGUCUUACACUCAGUCUUCUUAGCAUAGUAUGGUGCUACCUCUGAGUUAAUUAAGAUAACAAAAUUCCUAGAUAUAUAUCUUUGAUGAAACGGUUUCCAUGAAAACUUUCCAAGUUUGGUCCCUCCCCGGCUGAGUUCAUUUUGGAAGGUGACUUUCUGCUCUCAUCACCUAAGGUCCUUAACACGUAUCCUGUGUUCUCCGGAGGCACCCCUUGCCCAGAGUGUGCCCUCUGCAUGGUUCCCCCAGAACACCUAUUUCAAAGGAAAAGAAGUUGGAUCAUUCAGUGAAGAUUUGGGGGGCCACUUUUCUACGUGGGAGGAUUAUGAGUAUUACCUUCCUCCCCUAUGUAUUAGUAAAUAUAAAGAAAACAUAAAUUAACCCCCUUUCUGGCUGGGCACGGUGGCUCACGCCUGUCAUCCCGCACUAUGGGAAUCCGAAGUGGGCGGAUCACUUGAGGUCAGCAGUUUGAGACCAGCCUGGCCAACAUGGCAAAACCCCGUCUCUACUAAAAUAUAAAAAUUAGCCAGAUGUGGUUGCACACAUCUCUAGUCCCAGCUACUCGGGAGGCUGAGGCACAAGAACUGCUUGAGCCUGGGAGCAAGGGUUGCAGUGAGCUGAGAUUGUGCCAUUGCACUCCAGCCUGGGUGACAGAGCAAGACUCUGUCUC